rfam:Clostridium symbiosum WAL-14163 genomic scaffold supercont1.2, whole genome shotgun sequence.
UGAAGAGUAAGGAUACGAGCGUUAAGUAUUGGCCGGACGGGGAGUUGCUGGCUGAGCGAAAAGCCCAGGCUUGCGGUUCGUAUUCUGCAUCCUGCUUCA